UAUUAGGCUAUCAGCAGAUUUGAGCGGUGUAUUACAGCGAGACACCACAUUUUUGCAUCACAUCUCCGUUAUUCUUUAUAUUUAUUCUUCACGUUUACUCCUUGUAUAUACUCUAUUUUUCACAUUUAUCCUUCACAAUCCUCCGCUCAGCUGAUGUAAUGUUGACAUUUCCCGCCGCUCCGGCGCGCCAACACUGCCGAGCCACGCGCCUUCGUCUUGCCAUGACCGUCACCACGCUGGUACUGGUAGUCACCGGCACCACGAAAACAGCGACUGUGAAAGCGGAUCGAGGCGAUGGUAACGGCUGCUACCAGGAUGGUAGGGCCUUUGGUUAGGGGGUGCUGAAGGGGCUCUGAAGACAAACCGGGGGAGCGUUUUGCGAUUUGCACAACACCGGGAGGUGAGGCGUUGUGCAGCGUGAGGGCCAUCUUGGCGGCGAGGUCAACAUUCAGCAGGCCAUUGAGCAAGGAGGAGAGGAGGCUGCACGCGAAGGUUAAGAUCCUCCUGCUGCUGCUUGACCGUUUCCACUCCUUGGUGGGUGGCGGCGCAGGACUCACCAGGGGUGGCUGAGGGACUGCUUGCAGGUGUACCUCCUCUCCACAUCAACACACAUCAACUGCCGG